CCACAACACACCCCCUUCUUUCCCUAUAUCCGCCUACCCCUAAACCCUAACCCAUUUCCCCAUCGCCAGCCGCGCCUCAACGCUCUCAAUCCUCUCCACUCUUUCUCCCUUUCUAUGAAACCCUAGCCGCUUUACCCUAGAUCCUCUCCAAAUCCGGCCACACUAUGGAAUCUCCCCGUUAUUUACUUACCUUAUAUGUGUUACUCUAUUAUUAUUUGCACAACCAAGGAACCACUUAGUACUUGCCUGAUUUUGGAAAGUACCAUCUCUCAGAAUCCACCCGAUUGACCUCGAUCUUUGAAGAUUCAGAUGAUAUUUCGUUUAUAUACACUCGAAAUAAGGUUACACGUGUUCGAUUCAAUGAGAACUUUGGCUGUUUUUGACCACCUGUCGAACUAGGGUUUGCCCGAUUUUACUCUUUUCUGAUUCGAAAUAAGUUUGCACAUUGAUUUUUUUCUUAUUCUGUGUUUGAUUGAUGUUUUUACUUUCUUGAUCUGGGUAAGUCAAACACUAUAUAAAUCCCACCCCAAUUCCCCAUAAAGGGGACCUGAAUCACUUUCUCUUACUCACACUUACUCUAUUUUGUUCUGGAACUAUUGUGUUCAAUUAGUCAUUGGCCGGAUGAAUGCCAAGGCCACUAUGGUGCUGUUUAAGAACCUCCUCCACCGCAAGCACUGCUCGGAGCCCUUUUUGAGGCUCUUGUGAAUUCUGAAGCAUUGGGGAUUUGGGGUUCCCUUUUAAUCACUAUUGUUUGAGCCAUCAUUGAAACUCUACGUUUCCUCCUUCUUUGCAAGUUUAUCUUGCAACUGUGUUAAGAACAAGAUGAGUGUAUACUCUUGCUUAGAAUCCAAAUGAUUUGGUUGUCUUCAUGCCCUGGUUGGUUGUAAUUGAAUUGGGAUAGACAGGAGAAUUAUUUCUGUUGUUUGGGCCUGGACUAUCGGGUCAGGUUUUGGUAUGGGGUUUGAAGCAUAUUAUCAACACCUAGCGCAUUGGGCCUGCCGUCUGUGUAAAGUUUUAAGCCUAAUUGAAGGCCCAUAUGUAUUACUGGGUUACUUUACAUUUGUAAUUGUGUCUGUAGUUAUUUCAUUUUGGGCCUGUAAUAACUUGUAAAAAUAAAUUAUGGGGAAGUUAGUUAAAAGGGGUUGAGGUACUUUAAUUUUUGUAGGAACGGGUAGAAAACAUGCCUAUAGGGUCCAAAUAUUAUUAGUUAUUACUUGUAUGCUAUAUCCUAUUUGUGAGCGAUACUUGCUAAUAGAAAACAUACCUAUAGGAAUCUCAACUUGGCAUAUUCGCCUAGAAAUCAUGAUUUAGGACCAUAAAUAACCGUUAAAUCAAUGUUGCCAAUACGAUGUAAAACUUUUCUAGAAGAUAUGUCUAUAGGGCAAACUCCUUGUUAACUUGUUUGCAUAUUUGUCUCCGCUAGAGAUCAAGUGUUAGAAUCAAAACAUUUAGCAUCAUACCUAUAGGACUCUAUUAACUAAUACGACUGUUCGCAUUUCCAGUUAUGAGCACAAUACUUCACCUAGAGAUAAUGACAAUAGGAAUAUAAACAAGAACCAGUAUCGCUUCACUACUGAUUUGUCUGAAAACGAAGUGAACACGAUCAUCUAGAAAUUCAGCCUAUAGUUUUUAACCAUGAAGCAUGUUUUGUUUUAUUAUCCAUGUGUGAACUCUAAGCCUGACUUGUCAUUCGCGUACAAACCAUGCCUUAGGUUUAAAUAAAUCAAAUGCAGUAACCUAUAACUAUCCGUCUUAAUUCCAAUUAGAAGAGCAUCUCGCCUGUCCAUUCUGCUACUGACUAUCAAUGUUGUUUAACAAUUACGUGCGUAUGAAUCUAUGUGUGGAGGUAAACAUGAGCCCUUUUGUGCUAAUUGUUUCCCUAUACGAAGUCAUAUUUGUCUCUAUUAUGUGGCGCCUAGUCUUUUAGUUUUGAGAAGCCUAGGAUGAGUCUAGAACUACCUAUGAACCGAUGUGUGGAGGUAAACAUGAGCCCCUUUGUGCUAAUUGUUUCCCUAUAUGAAGUCAUAUCUGUCUCUAUUAUGUGGCGCCUAGUCUUUUAAUUUUGAGCAGCCUAGGGUGAGUCUAGAACUACCUAUGUAGAGCUCCAACGCCUCUUGGACCAUAAGCAUUGGACGAGUAGGCACAAGUAGGGUACGACUUAGAAUUGAAUUAGUGUGCUUUAGGUAAACAAAUUAAAGAUAGUAAUUGGGUAGCCGGAGAUGAUAAUCUUUGCUCGUUGGAUAAUAUGAGCAACCCUUGCACUUAUGAGGACUGCGAAGUAUUAUUUAUGUUGCACGGGUGAUCCUUUAGGCUAAAUUAUUUAGGACCCCUCCCCUGUCGCGGCUAAUUGUUUCUUGUAUGUUUAGUUUUGUUGGAAUUUAGGUUUUACCAGGCUAUACCUUGUAACCUCCAAAGAGUUGUACCAGUUCUUAUAUAAAUAAAGUCUCUUCUUCGGCAUUA